GAUGAACGCUGGCGGCGUGCCUAAUACAUGCAAGUCGAGCGAACAGACGAGGAGCUUGCUCCUCUGACGUUAGCGGCGGACGGGUGAGUAACACGUGGAUAACCUACCUAUAAGACUGGGAUAACUUCGGGAAACCGGAGCUAAUACCGGAUAAUAUAUUGAACCGCAUGGUUCAAUAGUGAAAGACGGUUUUGCUGUCACUUAUAGAUGGAUCCGCGCCGCAUUAGCUAGUUGGUAAGGUAACGGCUUACCAAGGCAACGAUGCGUAGCCGACCUGAGAGGGUGAUCGGCCACACUGGAACUGAGACACGGUCCAGACUCCUACGGGAGGCAGCAGUAGAGAAUCUUCCGCAAUGGGCGAAAGCCUGACGGAGCAACGCCGCGUGAGUGAUGAAGGUCUUCGGAUCGUAAAACUCUGUUAUUAGGGAAGAACAAAUGUGUAAGUAACUAUGCACGUCUUGACGGUACCUAAUCAGAAAGCCACGGCUAACUACGU
rnacentral:rRNA from 1 species